AAGUCGUAACAAGGUUUCCGUAGGUGAACCUGCGGAAGGAUCAUUAACACGUAUCCAACGUUAAACAACCCUGUGAACUUUCAGACGCUCUUGUAGCCCAGGCGGUUUUGAUUCGGGACCUCUGUCCAAUUAGUUACAAUCGAGCUAGGAGCAGUGGCAUGGUUUCCCUAAGCAGUGCAGAAGGAUCCACUGAGUAAGGAUAACGCAUCACGGUUGCUAGAGGUCGAUCACCGGCCGGCAGACAUGUCACAGGGCUACAUGCCCCUUCGUUCACCCCUUGCCUAAAACUCGCCCACCGGAAACGCUGGGCACAAAAACCGAACAACUGUUAACAAUGGAUAUCUUGGUUCUC
rnacentral:misc_RNA from 1 species